CCGCCAGAGAACUACAAGUGAAAAACUUAAAACUUAAAGGACUUGACGGUGUCCCAUAUCGGUCUAGAGGAGCCUGUCCUAUAAUCGAUACCCCUCGUUCCACCCAACCUCAACUAGCAAACAUGCCAGCCUAUAUACCGCCGUCGACAGCCUACCCUAUGAAGGUAUAACAGUAGACACAACAGCCUCCCACUAGCACGUCAGGUCAAGGUGUAGCAAAUGUUGAGGAAGAGAUUGGCUACAUUUUUUAUAAUAAAAAUACGAAAUGUAUUAUGAAAUACUACAUGAAGGUGAAUUUAGUAGUAAAAU
rnacentral:rRNA from 1 species